AUGUUGGUGAGAUAUGCCCGAUUGAUUUGCCUUGAAUCUAGUCCCCGUCCCCAACCUCCUCUCCCUCUCAUACCCCACACCAUGGCCGUCCAACCUUUGCUCCUGGAAGCUGUACCCCAAACCAUUUCUUUCAGUGUAAGGGGUUGUUUGUUGAUUCUUGACACACUUCUAAAAACAAAAUCAUGCCCCGACCUGUUGGAUAUCAUCAACAUGAAUGGUAUAUUUCCUUGCCUUUUUGCAACGAUAAUCUUCAAGGAUCUUGACCUUACAAGACCUGCAGCCCCAAGGAACCCUCCAAGACCCCAGUUUGAAACAUCUACAAAGGAGGUUUUAAGGAAAGCCGAUUUUAGGGUUAGAGACGCCCUUGCUUCAAAGACCUGA
rnacentral:rRNA from 1 species